rnacentral:lncRNA from 1 species
GCUUUGGCCCACCAAGUGUGUACCAUGCUGCUAUUGUCAUCUUCCUUGAAUUCUUUGCGUGGGGCCUUUUGACAACUCCAAUGUUGACUGUUCUACAUGAAACAUUUUCUCAACACACAUUCCUCAUGAAUGGUCUCAUUCAAGGUGUAAAGGGCCUGCUCUCUUUUUUGAGUGCCCCACUCAUUGGUGCCCUGUCUGAUGUGUGGGGGAGGAAGCCCUUUCUCCUCGGCACUGUAUUCUUUACCUGCUUCCCAAUCCCACUGAUGAGGAUCAGCCCAUGAAGUUUUCAUGGGCUGAGCUGCUGAGUUCAGCCUGGGAACUGAGGCCAACAAGGGAGUCUCCUCGGCACACAAGUUUGAAAGAAGUCCUGGUGACUUCAAGCUCAGAACCAUGGACGGCAGGGCUCCCUCUGGAUGUGG